rnacentral:rRNA from 1 species
UACGGGGGGAGCAAGCGUUGUUCGGAUUUACUGGGCGUAAAGGGCGCGUAGGCGGUAGCACAAGUCAGUUGUGAAAUCUCCGGGCUUAACUCGGAAAGGUCAACUGAUACUGUGCGACUAGAGUGCAGAAGGGGCAACUGGAAUUCUCGGUGUAGCGGUGAAAUGCGUAGAUAUCGCUUGGAACGCCGAAGGUGAAAACAGGCUGCUGGGGUUGCGCCGACGCUGAGACACGAAAGCCAGGGGAGCAAACGGG